rnacentral:rRNA from 1 species
AGUGAACGCUGGCGGCGUGCUUAACACAUGCAAGUCGAACGAGAACGGAAUAUAGCUUGCUAUAUUUGUCAGCUAAGUGGCGCACGGGUGAGUAAUGUAUAGAUAACCUGCCCUGAAGAAAGGAAUAACAGUUGGAAACGACUGCUAAUGCCCUAUAUGCCUUUAAUACAUAAGUAUGCAAGGGAAACGCUUUAGUGCUUAAGGAUGGGUCUGUAUGGUAUCAGCUUGUUGGUGAGGUAAUGGCUCACCAAGGCUAUGACGCCUAACUGGUUUGAGAGGAUGAUCAGUCACACUGGAACUGAGACACAGUCCAGACUCCUACGGGAGGCAGCAGUGGGGAAUAUUGCACAAUGGACGAAAGUCUGAUGCAGCAACGCCGCGUGGAGGAUGACACAUUUCGGCGCGUAAACUCCUUUUAUAUAGGAAGAUAAUGACGGUACUAUAUGAAUAAGCACCGGCUAACUCCGUGCCAGCAGCCGCCGUAA